rnacentral:rRNA from 1 species
GACGAACGCUGGCGGCGUGCUUAACACAUGCAAGUCGAACGGAGUGAUUGAGAGCUUGCUCUCGAGAACUUAGUGGCGAACGGGUGAGUAACGCGUAAACAACCUGCCUUUCGGAUGGGGACAACAGUUGGAAACGACUGCUAAUACCGAAUGAGCUUCAUGUACCGCAUGGUGCGAGAAGAAAAGACGGCCUCUCGAAGAAGCUGUUGCCGAAAGAAGGGUUUGCGUCUGAUUAGCUAGUUGGAGAGGUAACGGCUCACCAAGGCAAUGAUCAGUAGCCGGUCGGAGAGGAUGAACGGCCAAACUGGAACUGAGACACGGCCCAGACUCCUACGGGAGGCAGCAGUGGGGAAUAUUGGACAAUGGGGGAAACCCUGAUCCAGCAAUGCCGCGUGUGUGAAGAAGGCCUUCGGGUUGUAAAGCACUUUCAGCGGGGAAGAAAGAACCAAAAUUAAUACUUUUGGGUGUUGACGUUACCCGCAGAAGAAGCACUGGCUAAUUCUGGGCCAGCCGCCGCAGUAA